rnacentral:lncRNA from 1 species
AACCUUCUGAAUUUUUUUUUUGUACUGAAAGAGGAAAAUAUUAUUCAGAUAGAAAAUCAAAUUACAUCAUUUUAGGCCAAGGUAAGCCUAACUUAUCCACAAAUAAAAUAGAACUAAUAUCAGUAGGAGGAUUAUCAAAAAUAUGUAAUCCUAAGGGACGGCCAUCAUGAUUUGCAACCAAUCAAUUUACGCUUUUAUUGGCUUUCACGAAAGAUGUGAGUGAUAGAACAUUUCCAAUCCCGUUGAAACAAUUCCUUAAUGAGUCGCAACAGAUUUGCUUUUGGGUUCAAGGAAGAGCAUGGUUUUGAUAAACUUUGUAUGGCAAAUAAGGAAUCAGUUUCAACUUGAAUAUGUCUAAAUCCUCUGUUACAACAAAGUGUG